AACAUCGCGCACCUGCGGGAACCUGCGGAAGGAUCAUUACCGAGUUAUACAACUCAUCAACCCUGUGAACAUACCUAAAACGUUGCCUCGGCGGGAACAGACGGCCCCGUAACACGGGCCGCCCCCGCCAGAGGACCCCCUAACUCUGUUUCUAUAAUGUUUUUUCUGAGUAAACAAGCAAAUAAAUCAAAACUUUUAGCAAUGGAUCU
rnacentral:misc_RNA from 1 species